CCGAGCUCUCACUCCACAUGCCAGCAAAGGAAUCCAACGGAGAACCAAACUAUUGCCUCAGGAGCUACGUUGGAAUGUAAUUUUUUCCACAAAAGAAAAACAGACAAUGAAUGCCUGCAUAAAGGUCAUAGACAAGAUAACGGAAACAAUAUUUUGCUCACAAAUGAUGCAGAUACUUAAGGGAUGACAUUUCUGAGAGAUAUCAGUAUAAAGACAAGAAGAAGAAGAAACAGCAGAUCCAGGCUAGACGCUAGAAACCAACUGCAGAGUACAACAGAAACUGUCCCCUGACAAGCUACACUCCACCUCGGGGGAGGCCGGCCAAGAAUUUUCACCCUAUAAAUUUGUGCACAGGAGCGUGGGUAAGGAAGCUGGCUCACAGUGAACACAUCUAUCCCUCCAUUCCUUUCCGGACAUGUAACAAACAGUGGGAAAAAAGAAAUAACAGGCUUAGCCUCUGCCAUUGUACCGGGUGACAUAAGCUCCUGAUACAUCCACCCAGUGCGCUUGGCUGCGGCCAUGGGAACACAGAGCCCAGUGGUUGUGUGCUAGUUGUUUGCGAGGUGGCUGCACAUCACAUCCGCAAGAUGGAAGAAGAUAACCUGACAUCACUCUGCAUAAAGACAACGUGAAAUGUCUCCUGCUUCUCCUCCUGAUGCGCUCAGACAGGUUCGAAUGUCUCUACACCUAAUUCAAAUCAAGUGUGUAUGCGUAAAUGUACAGAAGAUAACGCACGCCAUUACAGGAAGUGACAACUUGAGCGCACCCGUUAAUAAACAAGCAUCCACUAAAGGAGCCCAAAUAAUCCUUUAUCACGAGCCAGACAGGACAAUGCUACAGCCUAGAUUAGAAAGGGGGAAGAUGCUACCCACAAAUACUCUUUACCACCAGUUAUUUUUUUUUCUUUCUAUAGGAACACAAUCUGUGGAAAAACAUAGUUGUUGCAUAAUCUUUGAUGCCUACCUUCUUUUCGGUUAGCGACACCUAGGGAUGACACAUUCGGCCGAACUGCGUGCAAUUGAGAGAAACCAGGAGUUAUUCAUGUGCGCUUGUGUGAUGCACUCUACCUGUAGGUCUAAGAGGGGGUGGAGGGGGGGGGGGGAACUACAUGAUAGUGGACACACACAACUGGAGACAUGAACAUGUCCAGCAUGGCUAGAGUCAUAAACUGAGGGAACAUCAAGUACAUAAUGGGGCAGGGCUGACAUGGACGAGCAAAGAGAAUGCAUCCAAAGAGCCAGUAAACGGACACUGGAGAGACGUUGUAUGUAAUUUGUGUGACGCACAUAGGCUUGCUGUGUGUGUGCGUGUUCAUGGCAAUGACGAUGAUGAGUGAAAAACUGAAGGAAACAAAUAAAAGAGAUAAAACCCCUUUUAAACUCUGUAGUGAAGUCAUGAUUAAUGCAAGCGGG